UACUGGGGCUGGCGGUCAUUAGUUACAUUUCAACCAUAGCGAUUCCCUAAUUGAGGCGCAACAGAGUUCACCGGCUAAUGCCGGAAAUAAUAACUAAACCAACGAACGACAAAUAUAUACGACUUUGUAUGCGUUGUUUGUUGGCAACCUUGAUAUUUACGUAGUUUUUGGAACGGAUUCCUGUUGGAAAGUUGUACGAAGACGCAAAGCGUUUGAUGAGGUGAAGGCUCGACUCAAGAGAAUGAAGAUGGACGACGCACUGCUGUAGCCGGACACAUUGAAGAUUAUGGUCGACGGAUCGCCUAAAAAAUUACACGCCCGAAGAGGCUGCUGUGUUUAUUGACUCUCUCAGGAGCUGAAAUCAGAAGAGGAAAUAGUGGUACCUGAUCCGGUAGGUGAA